rnacentral:piRNA from 1 species
AACAGUUGUACAAUCCAAUGCAGCCGUC